UAUGUGCCAGUGAUGGUGUUAAAUAUACUUCGAGAUUUAAUUCGAUGAUAUCAACUUUGAUCUGAGGCACCCG